rnacentral:rRNA from 1 species
CAGUAGCCGCGGGAAAACGUAGGUGGCAAGCGUUGUCCGGAAUUAUUGGGCGUAAAGGGCUCGCAGGCGGUUCCUUAAGUCUGAUGUGAAAGCCCCCGGCUCAACCGGGGAGGGUCAUUGGAAACUGGGAAACUUGAGUGCAGAAGAGGAGAGUGGAAUUCCACGUGUAGCGGUGAAAUGCGUAGAGAUGUGGAGGAACACCCGUGGCGAAGGCGACUCUCUGGUCUGUAACUGACGCUGAGGAGCGAAAGCGUGGGGAGCGAACAGGAUUAGAUACCCGUGUAGUCCCUGUCUCUUAUAC